rnacentral:rRNA from 1 species
GAAAGUGAUAAGUAUCCCACCUGGGGAGUAGGUUCGCAAGAAUGAAACUCAAAGGAAUUGACGGGGGCCCGCACAAGCGGUGGAGCAUGUGGUUUAAUUCGAUGAUACGCGAGGAACCUUACCAGGGCUUAAAUGUAGAUUGACAGAUUUGGAAACAGAUUUUUCUUCGGACAAUUUACAAGGUGCUGCAUGGUUGUCGUCAGCUCGUGCCGUGAGGUGUCAGGUUAAGUCCUAUAACGAGCGCAACCCCUAUUGUUAGUUGCCAGCGAGUAAUGUCGGGAACUCUAGCAAGACUGCCGGUGCAAACCGUGAGGAAGGUGGGGAUGACGUCAAAUCAUCACGGCCCUUACGUCCUGGGCUACACACGUGCUACAAUGGCAAGUACAGAAAGCAGCUACCUGGCAACAGGAUGCGAAUCUCCAAAGCUUGUCUCAGUUCGGAUUGGAGUCUGCAACUCGACUCUAUGAAGCUGGAAUCGCUAGUAAUCGGAUAUCAGCCAUGAUCCGGUGAAUACGUUCCCGGGCCUUGUACACACCGCCCGUCAAGCCAUGGAAGCUGGGGGUACCUGAAGUCGGUGACCGCAAGGAGCUGCCUAGGGUAAAACUAGUAACUAG